UACGUAGGGGGCUAGCGUUGUCCGGAAUCAUUGGGCGUAAAGCGCGUGUAGGCGGCUCGAUAAGUCCGCUCUGAAAGCCCGGGGCUCAACCCCGGGAGGCGGGUGGAUACUGUCGAGCUCGAGUCCGGAAGAGGCAAGUGGAAUUCCCGGUGUAGCGGUGAAAUGCGCAGAUAUCGGGAGGAACACCAAUGGCGAAGGCAGCUUGCUGGGACGGUACUGACGCUGAGACGCGAAAGCGUGGGGAUCAAACAGG
rnacentral:rRNA from 1 species